rnacentral:lncRNA from 1 species
GUGCUGGCAAACAAGUUUUUUAACUAGCCUGCUCAGCCUUUAAAAGAAAAAAGCACAUUGAUUUCAAACAACAGCCCACCACUGAAAAGUGUGCAAGACAUCGCAGAGCUGAGCAGGCACCCGAGCGAUGGCUGGAUAAAGAAUACUUCUCUCACUGCGUAAUGAACAGCCCAAGCAGCCCGCGGAUCUUAGCCUGUGACUUCUGUGAUCAGGAAGCUAUGGAGACUUUUUUAGGGGUAGAAUAGUUCAGUAUCCAC